GAGGUUAAGCAAAAGCACGGAAUCAUGAAAAUUAUUCUUUGAAAUGGCAAAGAUUUCUGUGGCUGGAUCAUGGGAUUUAUUGACUGGAGCGAUUUCUCCUCAGAAGACCAGACACAUAAGGUGAAAGAGAAGUCAGGAAGGGAUGUCACAAGUUACCAUAUCAUGGAAUGUGAGAAUAACAUGAACCAGGAAGCUGCAUGUUCUGCAGGAACUAAGAAGACAAGGCAGCAUAAAUACUUUUUGGAGAAAAACACUAUGAGGAGCAUUGAGAAAGUCCUCAUUUGGAAUACUUAGCUGGACUUACCUAAACUGAACUUUCCCUUCCUUGACCCAGGGCAACCUCUGCCAAGCCCACCACCCUCCAGCUCCUACGCCAUGAAAGAUCGAAGAAGAUAAUCAGAAAAACCACCCAAGAAAAGGAAAAGGGAGAAUCAGUUACAUAUCCAGCAAGCCAGAAAACAAGAAAACCCAAAUCUGUUCCAGUUCUCUAGUUUCACCUUAAAGGCAAAGAACUGUAGAUGCUUGUGAGGAGCUCUUCAAAGCCUAAAUUCAUAGCCUCUCUACGCGGGAGGUUACCAGCAUCUGAAGAAAAACAACCACUACCAGAAAAGCUCUUCUUUGUUUUCAUUCUUCGCAGUCCUUCAGGAAACUCUUGAUAAUGUGAAAUGUUAUUACUGCAAAUGUUGGCUCAAGCACGUUUACUCUAGAGUCUGACUAUCAGUGACUUGUUCGCAAAAUAAAAUCAUUUUUAAAGCCUACAAGGAAAGCCAAGAGCAAACCACAAAUCAGAAAACCACCAAGGCGGGCUGGCCUCAUUGCCAGAAUUUAAUGUGAUCUAAUGCGAGGACAACAAGAUGUGAGAAUUUGAUUUUACGAUGUUCCAUGUAACAUUUGCCAAUACGGAGGGGUUGGGCCCAACUUCCCCAUCCUUAAGCAAACAUUUGAAGUAAUGUUUCACUUUCUUAUCAGUUUGAAUUCUGUCAGCGAGAGGGUAGAGAUUCAGCCGGGCCUGCUCAUUUUAAAAGUGCCAUCUGCUUUGGAUGCUCAUAGAUUUGCUUAAUAUCCAUUUGUAUAAGAUGAAGAUGGGCAGGUGGGGAAGGGGCCAGGAAAAUAGGAUGAAGCUAUUUAGUGGCAGUGUACCAACUGGACUGCCACUCUCUUCUGCACUGGUGAUUUAUUCCAUGGGUGGGAAGGCAGGAAUAGGGCUAACUUAAGCAACAUUCUUUCACAAGCAAAAACUAACCCCAAUGAGAAAGAGUCAGAUCUGGGCUGAAUCACGUUGUCCAGUCUCACACCAAAUGGAACUGGAGCUCAGGUGGAGCUCUAUUUCCCAUCACUCAUUCUUUAGAAAAGAAAUAAAAUGGUAGCAACAGAGAAA
rnacentral:lncRNA from 1 species